AGAGCGAACGCUGGCGGCAGGCCUAAUACAUGCAAGUCGAACGGAUCCUUCGGGAUUAGUGGCGGACGGGUGAGUAACACGUGGGAACGUACCCUUUGGUUCGGAACAACUCAGGGAAACUUGAGCUAAUACCGAAUGUGCCCUUCGGGGAAAAGAUUUAUCGCCAUUGGAGCGGCCCGCGUCUGAUUAGCUAGUUGGUAGGGUAAAGGCCUACCAAGGCUACGAUCAGUAGCUGGUCUGAGAGGAUGAUCAGCCACACUGGGACUGAGACACGGCCCAGACUCCUACGGGGGGCAGCAGUGAGGAAUUUUCGUCAAUGGGGCAACCCUGAACGAGCAACGCCGCGUGCAGGAAGAAGGUUUUCGGAUCGUAAACUGCUUUUCUCGGGGAAGAGAACGGACGGUACCCGAGGAAUCAGCCCCGGCUAACUACGUGCCAGCAGCCGC
rnacentral:rRNA from 1 species